CUUACUGCCCCUGGUUUGUCCGAGUCAUCACCGCUGUGUUGAUUUACCGCCUCAGGAUGGUCCUUGCCUUUGCCGCUCAGUUGUCUUACCGCCCCAGAUGAGCUUGUGAUUCAUUGAACACAGCUGGCAGAUCCUUUAGGGUUCAUCAGUCCAACUGCUUCUGAGCUGGACCUGAGAGAGACAUCUAGUGCUCAAUGCUGAAAUUACAGCUCAUUCACAAACAAAUGAGUGGAAUAUUGUUGCAG
rnacentral:lncRNA from 1 species